GAUAUGGCUCAGGAUGAACGCUAGCUACAGGCUUAACACAUGCAAGUCGAGGGGCAGCGGGAAGUCAGCUUGCUGACUUGCCGGCGACCGGCGCACGGGUGCGUAACGCGUAUCCAACCUGCCGUGUACUCGGGGGAUAGCCCUCUGAAAGGAGGAUUAAUACCCGAUGCGGUCAUUUGAAGACAUCUUCUUGUGAUCAAAGAUUUAUCGGUACACCGAUGGGGAUGCGUACGAUUAGUAGUCGGCGGGUAACGGCCCACCGAGACGACGAUCGUUAGGGGUUCUGAGAGGAAGGUCCCCCACAUAGGAACUGAGACACGGUCCUAACUCCUACGGGAGGCAGCAGUGAGGAAUAUUGGUCAAUGGGCGAGAGCCUGAACCAGCCAAGUAGCGUGAAGGAUGACUGCCCUACGGGUUGUAAACUUCUUUUAUGCGGGAAUAACCUCCACUACGCGUAGUGGUCUGCAUGUACCGCAUGAAUAAGCAUCGGCUAAUUCCGUGCCAGCAGCCGC
rnacentral:rRNA from 1 species